AUUGAACGCUGGCGGCAUGCCUUACACAUGCAAGUCGAACGGUAACAGGUUAAGCUGACGAGUGGCGAACGGGUGAGUAAUGUAUCGGAACGUGCCCAGUCGUGGGGGAUAACUGCUCGAAAGAGCAGCUAAUACCGCAUACGACCUGAGGGUGAAAGCGGGGGAUCGCAAGACCUCGCGCGAUUGGAGCGGCCGAUAUCAGAUUAGGUAGUUGGUGGGGUAAAGGCCUACCAAGCCUACGAUCUGUAGCUGGUCUGAGAGGACGACCAGCCAACCUGGGACGGAGACACGGCCCAGACUCCGAGGGGAGGCAGCAGUGGGGAAUUUUGGAAAAUGGACGCAAGUCUGAUCCAGCCAUGCCGCGUGCGGGAAGAAGGCCUUCGGGUUGUAAACCGCUUUUGUCAGGGAAGAAAAGGUUCUGGCUAAUACCUGGGACUCAUGACGGUACCUGAAGAAUAAGCACCGGCUAACUACGUGCCAGCCGCCGCCGUAACAC
rnacentral:rRNA from 1 species